CUUCCUUGUAAUUUGGGGGAUUGGCCCCAGAGCAUCCACGAUCCGGCCGUAACCGGAUGUAUCCAGGGAAA
rfam:Elusimicrobia bacterium RIFOXYA2_FTLL_53_38 rifoxya2_full_scaffold_507, whole genome shotgun sequence.